UACGUAGGGUGCAAGCGUUGUCCGGAAUUAUUGGGCGUAAAGGGCUCGUAGGCGGUCCAUCGCGUCGGGAGUGAAAAGCUGGGGCUUAACCCCAGUCCUGCUUCCGAUACGGGUGGACUAGAGGUAGGUAGGGGAGAUCGGAAUUCCCGGUGUAGCGGUGAAAUGCGCAGAUAUCAGGAAGAACACCAAUGGCGAAGGCAGCUCUCUGGGACGGUACUGACGCUGAGACGCGAAAGCGUGGGGAGCGAACAGG
rnacentral:rRNA from 1 species